ACGCUGUCUUCAGAGUUUGAUCCUGGCUCAGGAUGAACGCUAGCGAUAGGCUUAACACAUGCAAGUCGAGGGGUAACAUGGGAGUAGCUUGCUACUUCUGAUGACGACCGGCGGAUGGGUGAGUAACGCGUAUGCAACUUGCCUCUUAGUGGGGAAUAACCCGGAGAAAUCCGGACUAAUACCGCAUACACUUAGUUAUCCGCAUGGAUGAUUAAGGAAAGAUUUAUUGCUAAGAGAGAGCUUUGCGUCCCAUUAGCUAGUUGGUGAGGUAACGGCCCACCAAGGCAAUGAUGGGUAGCCGGCCUGAGAGGGUGAACGGCCACAAGGGGACUGAGACACGGCCCUU
rnacentral:rRNA from 1 species